rnacentral:SRP_RNA from 1 species
GUGCGGGCUAGCCUGGAGGGUCAGGCGUCCUCUGCAACUCGAAAUCGUCGAUAUGCGAGAGGCGAAGCUCGAAGAAGGCGCCGUAGCUGUCAGUUUCAGCUCGAAGUCCAACGAAGAAGCAUCGUCCUGCGGGGUUGACGGUGGUAUGGUGGCAAACCGGAGGGUUUGUUGCCGUGCCUUUACCAUGGGUACUGGUUUAGGCCCGGAAGGGAGCGGACCCACCGUGGACGGUUGGCGCUCGCAGGGUUGCGGUGCGGAGGAAGACUUUGGGGGUCUGGCUGGUAGCGAAAGUGUCGACCGAGAGCGCGCCCGCAC